rnacentral:rRNA from 1 species
UAGGGAAUCUUCCACAAUGGACGCAAGUCUGAUGGAGCAACGCCGCGUGAGUGAAGAAGGUUUUCGGACCGUAAAGCUCUGUUGUUGGUGAAGAAGGAUAGAGGUAGUAACUGGCCUUUAUUUGACGGUAAUCAACCAGAAAGUCACGGCUAACUACGUGCCAGCAGCCGCGGUAAAUCGUAGGUGGCAAGCGUUGUCCGGAUUUAUUGGGCGUAAAGCGAGCGCAGGCGGAAGAAUAAGUCUGAUGUGAAAGCCCUCGGCUUAACCGAGGAAUUGCAUCGGAAACUGUUUUCUGAGUGCAGAAGAGGAGAGUAGAACUCCAUGUGUAGCGGUGGAAUGCGUAGAUAUAUGGAAGAAUACCAGUGGCGAAGGCGGCUCUCUGGUCUGCAACUGACGCUGAGGCUCGAAAGCAUGGGUAGCGAACAGGGUUUAGAU